GACGGAGGGUGCUAGCGUUGUUCGGAAUUACUGGGCGUAAAGGGCGCGUAGGCGGCUGCUCAAGUCGGGUGUGAAAGCCCGGGCUCAACCCCGGAACGGCACCCGAGACUGGGCGGCUCGAGACCGGGAGAGGUGGGUGGAAUACCCAGUGUAGAGGUGAAAUUCGUAGAUAUUGGGUGGAACACCGGUGGCGAAAGCGGCUCACUGGCCCGGUUCUGACGCUGAGGCGCGAAAGCGUGGGGAGCAAACAGG
rnacentral:rRNA from 1 species